UACGUAGGGGGCGAGCGUUGUCCGAAGUUACUGGGCGUAAAGCGCGCGUAGGCGGUCUCUUAAGUCCGGGGUGAAAGGUUCAGCGCUCAACGCGAACAGUGCCCUGGAGACUGGGGGACUUGAGUGUGGGAGGGGGCAGUGGAAUUCCUGGUGUAGCGGUGAAUGCGUAGAUAUCAGGAGGAACACCGAUGGCGAAGGCAGCUGCCUGGCCUAACACUGACGCUGAGGUGCGAAAGCGUGGGGAGCGAACAGG
rnacentral:rRNA from 1 species